ACUUGGCUGGCUCAGUUGGAGGAGCAUGCAACUUUUGAUCUCGGCGUCGUGGGUUCGAGUCCCAUGUUAGGUG
rnacentral:tRNA from 1 species